AGCAUGUAUAUCACAAAUCACUAUGAAAUGGAGAAGGAGCUUCAAUAUAUCUAUGAGAUAGGAUACCAGCAUGGGUAUAGUAGAUGCUUUUUGGAAGCCAUUUAUCAUAGAACUCUGCAACCCCCCUCCGGCCAAUGUAAUGAUGGACCAAAGAACCAAAGUUACAUGCCAGUCUCUUUCACAAUGAAAAAUACAAUACUACUAAAAAAUUAGUGAAAAAAAUCAAUAGAAGAUUAACUUAUAGAAGGCAACCAACAGUUUUUAGCCAGCUAAGAAAUGAAAAGGAUCUUAGAUAACAACAAGAGCUUUGAGCCAAAGAUUACAGGAACAUAAAAGGGACAUCUCCAAUGGGAAAUUAAAUAUGGUCUUGGCAAUAUGUGCAUAUGAAGACAACUUGGAAGUGAAUUGGAAGAAUGCU
rnacentral:lncRNA from 1 species